rnacentral:lncRNA from 1 species
UUAACUUCCAUAUUUUAAAUUAUAAAAAUAAACUGGGAAACUAAAGCAAAUGUGCAUCCUUGCGGGACUCCAAGCCUGGGCACUGGCCGCCUGCGUGCACUCCUCUAAGUGUGCAUAACACGCCCGCAGGGGUUGCCAGCAGGAAGCCUGCGUUAACUUUAUCUCGUGGUGGGGAAGGUGGAGCCCACGCCCACACCUAGCAAGCUGGAGAGGGAGGUUUCGUGAGGAAAUAAAUAUGGGGCACGGAAACACAGUCUUCCGCAUGGAGUCCCCAGAGGCAGUGCAUUUUAAACCCUAAAUGUGGAUUACUGAGUGUCCGAGUGGAGUUUAAAUUCCGUUUGAAGAAACUGGAUAAGGAGUGUUUGUGUGGGUGUUUGUGCGCACGGCUAUAUGGGAGCAGGCACAGGAUCUCAGUGUUGGGGGUGUCCCUAGUGUGCGAUGUCCUCCUCUCGCCACAUUAGGAGAACUCCUUUAGCUCCCCCAAACUGGCCCCCGUAACUACCCUGCCUCGGUUCGUAAGGGGUUAACCAAAACCGAUUCCGAGGACAGACAACCCGCCCCCACAGUCACCCCCACCCACACUCGCUUCCGACCCUGGCCAAGCCCCCAAAUCUUCCCCGGGGACCCCCCACCCCGCAGCCCACCCACCGGAGCGCACAGCUCCUCACCUGAAGGGCCGGGCCACGUCCGGCCUCCCGAAGAGGCUGCGUGCGUCAGGCGGACCACCGCACGUGUCCUCGGCGGCGCGGAGCAGUUUCCAGUUCACAUCACUGCAACACCAAGUCCAAUGGAAGAGGGAAAAUCCACUUCUCCAACAGAGAAAAAGACUAGAAGGAAGCUCCCAAAAUGUUAAAGCCCUGCAAGCUAUUUGGCAUAUGAAGGUCUUGACCUGAGAAAACCAUCUUGGAUAACCGUGGCAAGGAGAAGGAAAAAUGCAACACCUAGGAGAUUUCAGUAAACAGUAGAAUCAUGCCAACCUAAUCUGUGUUAAAAUGCUUGGAAUGUGGGAGCCGCUGAUGAUGCCUGUUGUCUGUGUGUCUGACUGAAUCCUUUCUUUACUCAGAGCAGCAAAGCAAAGCCUGGGAACCAGGCCAAAUGCCUGCCACUUACCUUAAAUUGAUCAGCCACUUUGAGAUUAAAACUCCUGAAAGCUGCCACACCGUGAAAACAAGGCCCCCUUCACAUUAAAGGCAAAUUGCGACUUUGAGUUUGCUGUGAUCUUUUUUCCAUUUUAUCCAGUUUUUCACAGUGCACACUUUUUUUUUCCUUUCCAUUUAUGCUCCAAUGUAGAAGCCAAUAGUUACAGCAUCUUGGCCAAGCAUUCAUUAAGGUUUAUAAGACCAAAAUUUAUGGUUAUUUAGGAGUUGGCACAAAGACAGACUGUUGCUGGAAAAAGAAAAAGAAAUACAGGUGGGAAAUAUAAGCCUCAACAAAGGCCCAUACUAUACAGUAGUGUGCUGGGCUCACAGGAGUGUCUGCAAGGAAAAUACU